GUUGCGAUUCAGAUCGGGCGAAAAUAAGUGUACUGAAAGGACCCGGAUGGUGUACUCAAAACGGUCAAAUCACGAAGUGUGGAUCGCCGUACACUUUUCGUACUCAACGGCAGCCAUCUUAGCUACAUAGCGGAAGAGGGCGGAGCCAGGCUGAGCCAAAGUCGGCGCAUUUUCCACAUAGCCUGCAUUAAAGUUUGGGUAUGGAAUUCUCUUUUUUGGACAUUUUUGCAAAAUUACUUGAAAUCCUUAUCAUAACCCACUUACAGCCACUGAGUUAGAAGUACUGACAUGAAAAUUAAACAAGUCAAUCAUCUGUGGAACGGGCAGGGUUCGAAAAACUCCAGCCAAUGAUUUCCAGAACCACCGAGUGGCAUUAGACAGUAAGUACGUCAAUCAAACGGUCGUACUGCACUCCCCCUCCCCCCGCGCGUGACCCCUUCAUGCACAAACUCAAAGCUCGUGACCCGGGAGCAAGCUUCUGUUUGUUGUUAUCCUGCGGUAGCUACUGGAGCUAGCUAACUAGCUAAUCCACAUUUGGACCUAGCACUAGAAGACAACCCUAAACUUGCGCAUCUAUGUUGGCGCUCGUGCAUGAUUUCGUGUCCGUGUACUUGGGCGGGGUAGCAGCGUUGAAGGAGAGAGGGUAGGACCAUUUGAGUUGUGUAUUUUCAAAAUCUGCUGGCGUAUGCUGGCGUUUCGCAAAUCCCAUACCCAACCUUUAAUAGAGUCAUUUUGUAGUUUUUAUAGCUUCUAUCGUUUUUCAUAGCUGCUAGGCGUAAAGAGUUCACCGUUCAAAGCGGGAUGUUUAUUGCGGGAGAGGAGCCGCGGCGGCAGUCGUGAUCGUAAUUUCCGGUUAGUGCACCACGGGGUAUUAGAUUCGUAACAACACUGACAUCUGAAAAUAAGCGCACUUGGUGAGUGUGGAUAUUGUACUACGUUUAAGUGUACUCAUGGAAGUAUGGAUAUCGGAACACGGCCCUGGUCCACCGCCAGGAGGAACCUGGACCCUGAAGACCAGGUCCCCGCCUCUCAGACCAGAAGCCACCUUCAGUUCUGCUUUUCUCUUUACUGCAUUGAUACCACACUUUCUACUCAAAGCGCUUUACAAUACUGCCUCACGUUCACCCAUUCACGCACACAUUCACACACCGACAGCGGACUCAGGAGCAGUCAGGGUGAGGCGGCUCGCUCAGGGACAACUCGACACUCUCACGCUAGGAGGGGCCGGGGAUCGAACUAGCAACAUUCCGGUGACCAGCCAACCCGCUGUACCUCCUGAGCCACAUGUCGCCAUUUCAAAUGUUUUAACUGGAGGAACGUAUGAAUGGUACACAAAGUGAGGGAUGAUUCAGAUGGCCGCCAGGCUGGACAGCAGACGUAGAGGAACCGACUGUUUGAACAGGAAAUCAAUACUAGAAAUGGAGAGCCGACUCCGCACUACGCACGGGGAGGGGGGACGGGUAGAGACACCGGCGCUGGUUCAUUAUUCCGACAUCGAUGACUCGUCUAAAGCCAAUGAACUGAUGACGGAAGAGAGGCGACUGCCAGGCAGGUGGUUCACCCUCUCACUCCUAGAAGUGUGUUUGUGCUAGGGCUGAACGAUUAAUCAAAUUCAAAAUCGAAAUCGCGAUGUGAUAGAACGCAAUAUGCAAAUCGCAAAGGCUGCGAUUAAAAUAAAUAAAAACUUUUCGUUUUUUUGUGGGUGAUUUGUUACCGUUACUGAGAUCAGUAAGAUUUUUAUUUAUUUUUAUGUUACAAUUCAAAGAUGUUGUGUCAUAAUUAUCAAUUCAUCUCAACACAUCAGCCGGGCCUAAAGGAAAGAGCCGUUUAUAUGUUCACUGCCUCCAAUGAUGUGUUGGUCAUACAAUAGAAUGAUUUAUUGCCUUUUUAGUGAAUAAUAAAGAACAUAAGGAACUUAACAUAUUAAAAGAAUCGCAUAUUAAAUCGCAAUCGUAAUAUUGGUCAAAAUAAUGGCAAUUCGAUUAUUUCCCCAAACCAUUCAGCCCUAGUUUGUGCAAAGCCAGACCAGGUGAGCCCUGCCACUCUGUGUGAAAUAACCCAUUAACAUCCCGCUCGGAUUCAAGUGUGGGAGCCUGCAGCUCGUUCUGAACCCACGUGUCUACAAUGGGCCGACAGGGCCAAAGGCGGCGUGGCGGAUGAAUGGUUCACUGCUGGGUAAACACUGAUCCACAGCCAGAGGCGGACACUGGGUCUGUCGGUCGCUGGUGGCCGUGUUUGCAAAGACCGAUGGGUCUUUGGGAGAAUACCAGCUCGGUUACACUCAGUUUAUGGCUUAUUAAGUGCAAUUAAGCAGAGAGUGUGCGUGUGUGUGUAUAAAUAACAUUUGUGUGUUUGCGUGUGUGUGUGUUUGCACGUGUGUGUGCGUGUGUGUUUGCGCGUGUGUGUUUGCGGACGUGUGUGUUUGCACGUGUCUGUGUGCACGUGUGUGUGUGUGCGUGUGUGUGUGUGUGUGUGUUGGGUGUGUCUGUUUGCACGUGUGUGUGGUUGUGUGCGCGUGUGUGCGUGCGUGCGUGUGUGUCCCAUGCAUGUAGCAAGGGACAACACAAUAAAUACUAUUUAUAUAGUAUUCCAGAUUUAAGCACAAAGAUCAAUAUUGAUCCAGGGUGACGUGUGCGUGUGUUAAUGUGAGCCCGGACCACUGGGGGCGGGCUGUCUCUAACCGACUCCUCCUUCACCACAACCCCCCCCAGGACAGCGAACGCAGAGGGAAACACCGAUACAGAUCAGAGCCCCCCAGCACGGGGGCCGGGGGGCAACGGGGGGGCUUUGUGGGACCCGCCGCCCCUUGGUGGGGGGGAACACGACAGAAGGGCUCACGAGAGGAAGAGGAGGAAGAGGAGGCAUAGUGAGAGGGGAGCGGGAGGGCACAGUUAAAGGCACAUGCAAUCAAUACCACACACACACACACACACACACACACACACACACACACACACACACACACACACACACACACACACACACACACACACACACACACACACACACACACACACACACUUUUAUCUCAAGCCCUCCUAUUAGUUAAUGUGUCACUCUAACCCCACAAAGAUAGUGACAGAAUGCCCACACACACUAACGGACACACACAAACAGACACACACAAACAGGAACAGACACACACAAACAGACACACACACACACACAAAAUACCAUUCUGAAAAGGUAUAAUACAAUAUAACAAUGGCUGAUUCCCAGAAGGACGUAAAGGGAAGGCGAGGCAGAGGUGUGAAUCACAACACAGAUGAGAUCUUCACUCCCCCCGAUUCAGUGGAGUUCUGCUCCCUCAAACGUUCAACCCCCCCAUAUCGUUAACAUUCAGGGCAUUCAGCAGACGCUUUGGUCCAAAGCAAC
ensembl:lncRNA